rnacentral:rRNA from 1 species
GAUGAGUGGCGAACGGGUGAGUAAUACGUGAGUAACCUGCCCUUGACUCUGGGAUAAGCCUGGGAAACUGGGUCUAAUACUGGAUACGACAUGUCACCGCAUGGUGGUGUGUGGAAAGGGUUUUACUGGUUUUGGAUGGGCUCACGGCCUAUCAGCUUGUUGGUGGGGUAAUGGCUCACCAAGGCGACGACGGGUAGCCGGCCUGAGAGGGUGACCGGCAACACUGGGACUGAGACACGGCCCAGACUCCUACGGGAGGCAGCAGUGGGGAAUAUUGCACAAUGGGCGGAAGCCUGAUGCAGCGACGCCGCGUGAGGGAUGACGGCCUUCGGGUUGUAAACCUCUUUCAGCACGGAAGAAGCGAAAGUGACGGUACGUGCAGAAGAAGCGCCGGCUAACUACGUGCCAGCAGCCGCGGUAAUACGUAGGGCGCAAGCGUUGUCCGGAAUUAUUGGGCGUAAAGAGCUCGUAGGCGGUUUGUCGCGUCUGCUGUGAAAGCCCGGGGCUUAACCCCGGGUGUGCAGUGGGUACGGGCAGACUUGAGUGCAGUAGGGGAGACUGGAAUUCCUGGUGUAGCGGUGAAAUGCGCAGAUAUCAGGAGGAACACCGAUGGCGAAGGCAGGUCUCUGGGCUGUUACUGACGCUGAGGAGCGAAAGCAUG